rnacentral:rRNA from 2 species
GAAUGCUGACAUAAGUAACGAUAAAGCGGGUGAAAAGCCCGCUCGCCGGAAGACCAAGGGUUCCUGUCCAACGUUAAUCGGGGCAGGGUGAGUCGACCCCUAAGGCGAGGCCGAAAGGCGUAGUCGAUGGGAAACGGGUUAAUAUUCCCGUACUUGGUGUUACUGCGAAGGGGGGACGGAGAAGGCUAUGUUGGCCGGGCGACGGUUGUCCCGGUUUAAGCGUGUAGGUGUGUGUUCCAGGUAAAUCCGGUUCACUUUAACACUGAGGCGUGACGACGAGGCACUACGGUGCUGAAGCAACAAAUGCCCUGCUUCCAGGAAAAGCCUCUAAGCAUCAGGUAACAUCAAAUCGUACCCCAAACCGACACAGGUGGUCAGGUAGAGAAUACCAAGGCGCUUGAGAGAACUCGGGUGAAGGAACUAGGCAAAAUGGUGCCGUAACUUCGGGAGAAGGCACGCUGACACGUAGGUGAAGUGAUUUACUCAUGGAGCUGAAGUCAGUCGAAGAUACCAGCUGGCUGCAACUGUUUAUUAAAAACACAGCACUGUGCAAACACGAAAGUGGACGUAUACGGUGUGACGCCUGCCCGGUGCCGGAAGGUUAAUUGAUGGGGUCAGCGCAAGCGAAGCUCCUGAUCGAAGCCCCGGUAAACGGCGGCCGUAACUAUAACGGUCCUAAGGUAGCGAAAUUCCUUGUCGGGUAAGUUCCGACCUGCACGAAUGGCGUAAUGAUGGCCAGGCUGUCUCCACCCGAGACUCAGUGAAAUUGAACUCGCUGUGAAGAUGCAGUGUACCCGCGGCAAGACGGAAAGACCCCGUGAACCUUUACUAUAGCUUGACACUGAACAUUGAGCCUUGAUGUGUAGGAUAGGUGGGAGGCUUUGAAGUGUGGACGCCAGUCUGCAUGGAGCCGACCUUGAAAUACCACCCUUUAAUGUUUGAUGUUCUAACGUGGACCCGUUACCCGGGUUGCGGACAGUGUCUGGUGGGUAGUUUGACUGGGGCGGUCUCCUCCUAAAGAGUAACGGAGGAGCACGAAGGUUGGCUAAUCCUGGUCGGACAUCAGGAGGUUAGUGCAAUGGCAUAAGCCAGCUUGACUGCGAGCGUGACGGCGCGAGCAGGUGCGAAAGCAGGUCAUAGUGAUCCGGUGGUUCUGAAUGGAAGGGCCAUCGCUCAACGGAUAAAAGGUACUCCGGGGAUAACAGGCUGAUACCGCCCAAGAGUUCAUAUCGACGGCGGUGUUUGGCACCUCGAUGUCGGCUCAUCACAUCCUGGGGCUGAAGUAGGUCCCAAGGGUAUGGCUGUUCGCCAUUUAAAGUGGUACGCGAGCUGGGUUUAGAACGUCGUGAGACAGUUCGGUCCCUAUCUGCCGUGGGCGCUGGAGAACUGAGGGGGGCUG